CCCACUCCACUUGGGGCCCAUGUGUGUGCGCGCUGCCGACCCACAGCCCUUGUCGAUGCGGCCCGAUGGGGCGGAGAGCGGCCAAAGUGGACUGGAAAGAUACCCUAGCAGGGAUAACAGUGAAACAACAAUGGCAGGUAUUUCUAGGAAUAAUACAGAAGGUGGAGGAUCAGUUCAUUCCUUGGAGGAAGAAAGAUUCCAAGGGGAGUAAGGGGCUGACAAGGGACAUCAGGGACAGUAUAAAAAUAAAAGAGAAGUUAUAAGAGCUAGCGCGGUCCCCGCCAUCUUAUUUAGCUAUUUUAUUGAAUUUUUCUAUCAGAAGUACAACGUAGCAAAGAUGAGCGGGUAGCAAGAGCAUUGGGUAAUGUUUAAAGAGCUACAGAAGAUAACUAAAAAGACAAUACGGGGAGAAAAGAUGAGGUACGAAGGUAAGCUAGCAAGAAUAUAAAGGAGGAUAGUAAAAGCUUCUUUAGGUAUGUGAAAAGGAAAAAUUAGUUAAGACCAAAGUUGGACCCUUGAAGAUCGAAAAAGGUGAAUUUAUUAUGGGGGAACAGACAGUAAUACUGGUCGGAGAACUGGGAAGGGGGAGGGGAGAGUGAGAGAGAGAGACUGUUCAUAUUGUUGGGGUGCAAGCUACCCAAGCAAAAUAUGAGGUGCUGUUCCUCCAGUUUGCGCUGGGCCUCAUUCACAGUGGCAGAGGCCCAGGACAGAAAGGUCAGAUUGGGAAUGGGAGGGGGAGUUAAAGUGCUGACCAACUGGGAGAUCAGGUAGGUUAAGGCGGACUCAGUGGAGGUGUUGAGAGAAAUGAUCGCCGAGCCUGCGCUUGGUCUCGCCAGACUACUACGGCACCUCCCUUGUCGGCGGGUUUGAUUAUAAUGUCAAGGUUGCUGCCGAGUGAGCGGGGGGGGGGCGCUGUACGUUCAGAGGGGGAGAGGUUAGAGUUGUUCAUGGGAGUAGAAAUGUUGAGACGAUUGAUGUCACACCAGCAGUUGGAAAUAAUAAGGUCUAAAUUGGGUGGAGGGCUGUCCGGGGGAGUCCAAGAGGAGGGGGACCGGUGGAGACGGGAGAAGGAGUCAUCACUGGCUAGUGAGGACUCCUUCAUAUAGAAAAAGGCGCGGAGGAAACGGAAGAAAAUCUCUAAGUUGUGGUGUGUCCGCAUCUUGUUGAGGUGCGGACGAAGGGGUACAAAUGUCCGGGCUCUGUUGAGGACCAACUGUUCUGCAUCUGAAAGAGAGAAGUCAGAGGGGAUGGUGAGAACACAACAGAGGUGUGGGCUGUGAUUAGAGGGAUGGAGAGAAACUUGAGGGAGGUACUGCAGGGAAUGAUGAGUUGAGAGGGGUAGUGUAAGGGUGGAAUUAGGAGAGGUAGCAUGGUUGGAAUAGGGGGGAGGGCAGCAUGUCCCAGUACUUCCAUUACUGGUCCCUAUUGGAAGGGGCGUGCAACAGAACCUAGGACAGUUGGCAGGGGAGUCAGUCCUCAUUGAUGUUGUUAUAGCUAGCAGUCUGGACCCACUGCUCUGUUUUAACUCCCCUUGCCUUUCCAUACUGACCAUUCUGCUCUGCGUCUCCUCCAUUGCCAGAACGAGCCCACAUGCAAACUGGAAGAUGAGCACCCAAUAUUCCGCUUGGGUAGCUUACAACCAAUGAUAUGAACAUUGGAUUCUCCAAUUAUAGGUAAACUCAAACAAGGAGGUAUUUAUUGAGAGAAGUUGAAUCUGAAAUAAUUCCAUGAAAAUGUGUAAAUAAUGGAAAUCUGAAAUUUAAAACAAAAUGAUCGUUAUCUGAAAUUGUUUACCACAAUUUCAAUAAAGGGGUUACGUACCUAGUUGGUAAUGUGGGUGCAUUGAACUUCAUUGGAACAGAAUAGGAGAACAAAAACCCUCUUUUUUUUUGUGUAUUGGAAGACUUUCUAAUUAACUUCACUUCAGAGCCAAACGAUUAAUAGAAAUGGCUAUGUUUGGAGAUUGCAAAGUUUAUCUGCCAAAGAAUAAAUCAAGUUUUUAUUUCUCUCUGUUAUUAGUCCAAGGAUGGUUUACCAUCAUCAGCGCAACUAGGAUCAAUCAAUAUGCAGUGAUCUUCUUGAUUGGUGUCUCAACAUAAUUUCAGAAUCUCGGGACUUUCCCAACAAACAUCUUCAAAGCAGUUUUCUCAAUGGAUUUUUUACGAUAUUUUACGAUCGGAUUAUGAGUCGUGAAAGCCAGGAAGUUCAUAGUAAAGUGUUUUGCUUUAAAUUCGACUCCGAGCCUUAAGUGCAUUGGAGCAUUUCAAUGGCCCGCCUUAGCAUUCAGCAACAAAGGAGAUGAAAUAUCAGCUAAGAUAAAAGCCUAUUAUAUUUUUUUUACUUGGAUACUGAGCCUUUGUACAAAUGGCACAUAAGGCAAGAUAGAGAUUCCAUGUGAUUGUUUAUAUUAAUAAAACAAAAAUAAAUAAAUUGGUUGAAAUCAA